GCUGAGGGCUGGGGAGCUGAGGGCUGGGGAGCUGAGGGCUGGGGAGCUGACGGCUGUGUGACAAACAGGUGCUGCUAGAUUACAAUAUCAUUCUUCUGCCUGUUUGGAACACUAAAUAAGUAAUCUGUCUGUUCUAACAAAAAUAAAUUGUGAAGCCUUUUUAUUUGAUUUAACUAGGCAAGUCCUUUAAGAACACCUUUUUAUUUACGGCCUUACCGGGGAACAGUGGGUUUAACCACCUUGUUCAAGGGGCAGAACGGCAGAUUUUUCUUUUACCUUCUCAGCUCAAGGAUUCGAUCUUGCAACCUUUUCAGGAUACUGGCCCGAAGCUCUCAUCGCUAGACUACCUGCCACCCCUUAUUACAGCAUAGCAGAGAUUAAAAACAGACCAAUCUGUGAAAUUAUUUAGUCCGUCACGUUGCAUGAAGCUUGGUGCUCACAGAAUCAGUAGGCUAUUAAACAAAGGCAACCGAAGCAAGAUCGGUCUUUUUUUCAGUAGAGAUAUAUAUUGGAUGAUUUAUAAAGCCAGGCACAUUUAACAGUUAGGUUAUUGAUUAUAGACCCAAUUAACUUGGUUUCCUCUAUCCACAAUUAGGCCAGGGCUGUUUCCUCGUCUCUUCUGCUGCCUCCUCCGCGUUGUUCUCUAUCUCAAUAUGCUGGUUUAUUUAGUAAUUAUAGGAAAGAAAGCAGCAAUUCAACGGUGCACUGAAGAUUGUUUCAGAACCAGGGACAGCGACUGUUUCCAACGUGGGAGAAAGUGCUUGGUUAUAUACAUACAAAGACUUUCUCCAUGAUAUAACCAAUAUACAAUUUCAGUGUCACAUUCUUUAAAGUGAUGGACUGUGUCAUCCCUGUGGCCUCCGCAAUGGUUUAGUCCACUGAGACAGGCGUGAAUCAGACAGGUGCCCUGACAUUUUUUUUUUCUAGUGAUUGCUCAACUGAAAAAAAUCUUGGGCGACCAAACAAUCAACCAGUCGACUAAAUGGGGUCAGCCCUAGGUCUUAUGUAGCAAAAUUGGAAUGUUGUUUUUUUUUUUGUACAUUGUAUAAAAGUAGAGAGAGAGAGAGAGAAAUGGUUUAUCAUACAUUGCAGUUGAGGAACAAUGAGAAGGUAAUUAUACUUUAAAAGUCGAUAAACUUGUAACCCCACAUUUUGAGAAAAUGGCCCUUGAAUGUUUUGGUACAGCUACUGGAGAGCUCUUCCUUGUCGACGCCCAUUCAGCAUCGUUCACAGCCUCCUAAUCCUUAGCCCCACCCACCUCAUUAAGGAUUCACAUGUGAGGCCAUGUGCUAAACAGAGUGAGGUAGUGUAGUAAACAACCAAAGAUUUCGAGACUAAAGGUGGUGAAAAUAGUAGCAAAAAGUAGUUUAUCUAGUCCUUGGCCUAUAUCAUAAUCUGACUUUGGUGCAGGUCAUGUUGUUCUUCACAAUGCAAAGUGUAUUUGUCAGGUGAACAGGAUACAGAUGGUGUAAACAGUGAAAUGAAAUGGUUACUCUCAUAGUAGCAAUAAAAAAAUUGUGUCCAGAUGAAAAUAUUGUAUUCAUAUUAUAUAACUAUUAGAUGAUUCUUACCCAGACACAGUUGUUUAAAUUGAUGGGUCAUGUGAAAGAAAUGCUAUAAUCACCUCCCAGCCACAUCAAGCUAGGUGGAUGAGUCACUACUGUCUAGACAUGUUCAUUAAAUACAAUAGUUGGCUGUAAUCACCUCCCAGCCACAUCUAGCUAAGUGGAUGGGUCAUGUAAUCAUCUGGCAAAGUGGAGUCUUUUGUUUAGACAUGUAGCUAGCUAGCUAAACAAUGAUUGUCAUAGCUAGCCACCAUACAUGAAUCUGCAGGUAGGUUCAAUGUUAGCUAGCUAGCUAGCUAACAUUAGGUUGUAACUAGCAAUGCAAAAUUGCUGUCUGAUAUACAACGAAUAUUACUACGCAGAUCAUACGCGUAACGUUAGCUAGCGAGCUAGCAGGCUGACGUUCCCUAGCAACCUAACAGUAAGCCUUAACUUGCAGUGAAAAUGACUUUGUGAUGAAAUUAGAAAUGUAUAAUGUCUGAAAAUGUAGCUAGCCUCUUUCCCGGUGAACAUGGAUGAACGCUUCACUGGAACCAUUUAACUCCGUUCUGUUUUGUAGAUACAGUUGGUUUGGCCCACUUUGUGUCAAGUCACUCCGGUUCACACUGACCGUAGUAGUCCGUCACAACCUUUUCCCACUGAUCUUUGUCUUUGGCGCCUGAUUUAUAAUAACAAGGCAGCAAUGUUGUUGAGAGCAGUUAUUCAGUUAUACCCUGUGGUCAAUCUGCUGCAUGUUAUUCAGUUUUACCCUGUGGUCAAUCUGCUGCAUGUUAUUCAGUUAUACCCUGUGGUCAAUCUGCUGCAUGUUAUUCAGUUAUACCCUGUGGUCAAUCUGCUGCAUGUUAUUCAGUUAUACCCUGUGGUCAAUCUGCUGCAUGUUAUUCAGUUAUACCCUGUGGUCAAUCUGCUGCAUGUUAUUCAGGUAUACCCUGUGGUCAAUCUGCUGCAUGUUAUUCAGUUAUACCCUGUGGUCAAUCUGCUGCAUGUUAUUCAGUUAUACCCUGUGGUCAAUCUGCUGCAUGUUAUUCAGUUAUACCCUGUGGUCAAUCUGCUGCAUGUUAUUCAGUUAUACCCUGUGGUCAAUCUGCUGCAUGUUAUUCAGUUAUACCCUGUGGUCAAUCUGCUGCAUGUUAUUCAGUUAUACCCUGUGGUCAAUCUGCUGCAUGUUAUUCAGUUAUACCCUGUGGUCAAUCUGCUGCAUGUUAUUCAGUUAUACCCUGUGGUCAAUCUGCUGCAUGUUAUUCAGUUAUACCCUGUGGUCAAUCUGCUGCAUGUUAUUCAGUUAUACCCUGUGGUCAAUCUGCUGCAUGUUAUUCAGUUAUACCCUGUGGUCAAUCUGCUGCAUGUUAUUCAGUUAUACCCUGUGGUCAAUCUGCUGCAUGUUAUUCAGUAUACCCUGUGGUCAAUCUGCUGCAUGUUAUUCAGUUAUACCCUGUGGUCAAUCUGCUGCAUGUUAUUCAGUUAUACCCUGUGGUCAAUCUGCUGCAUGUUAUUCAGUUAUACCCUGUGGUCAAUCUGCUGCAUGUUAUU